rnacentral:rRNA from 1 species
CCUACGGGUGGCAGCAGUAGGGAAUCUUCCACAAUGGGCGAAAGCCUGAUGGAGCAACGCCGCGUGGGUGAAGAAGGUCUUCGGAUCGUAAAACUCUGUUGUUAGAGAAGAAAGUGCGUGAGAGUAACUGUUCACGUUUCGACGGUAUCUAACCAGAAAGCCACGGCUAACUACGUGCCAGCAGCCGCGGUAAUACGUAGGUGGCAAGCGUUAUCCGGAUUUAUUGGGCGUAAAGGGAACGCAGGCGGUCUUUUAAGUCUGAUGUGAAAGCCGUCGGCUUAACCGGAGUAGUGCAUUGGAAACUGGGAGGCUUGAGUGCAGAAGAGGUGAGUGGAACUCCAUGUGUAGCGGUGAAAUGCGUAGAUAUAUGGAAGAACACCAGUGGCGAAAGCGGCUCUCUGGUCUGUAACUGACGCUGAGGUUCGAAAGCGUGGGUAGCAAACAGGAUUAGAUACCCGUGUAGUC